UGACUGUUCUCACUGUUUCCUGCUAUGGU
rnacentral:piRNA from 1 species